GAGGUGGGUGAGGGUGAGCCAAAGGAGACUCAGGGAAGCAGGGCGAGCGCACCGAGCGUGGGGGCGAAGUGAGAGUCAAGGCAGGAGAAAGACCGGCCCGGCAGUACCUCUUGACCUGGAUACGAUGCAGCCUUACACCUGGAAGUGGGCACUGGGGCCCCCAAAAAAGGAGAGCCCCCAAAGAAGUCCCCAAGCCUCUCUCAUGAAAGUGGAAGGGAACGCAUAAUGCUCAGAGAAAGUGCAGAAAUCUUGUUUUUUGUUUUGUUUUGUUCUGUUUUCCCUUCUCAAUGUUUUGUUGUACUCCAGCUCCCAAGCAGUCCUGUGAUCGUGAUCGUGGGGGCCACAGUGGGAGCCAACAAGAGCUAAUACUCUAUGGGAGGAAAACCUCCUCUGAAUGGUGGCGCUGUGGCCCCAAGAGGGUGGGACCAUUACCUUUUUCUCUUUUUCCAUCCUUCUGCUGCUUGGCCCUGGUUCUAAGCACAGUCAUACAAGUAUGAAGCAAAAAGAGGUAACUAAUGACUCAGCUUGGUGGCCCAAGGACCAAAAGGGAGAGCACAGAGUAACUGAAAAGAACCUGAGAGACUGUGCCAUGGACUGGAUGUUUAUGUCUCCCUAAAAUUCAUGUUAAAACAUAAUCCCCAAUGUGAUAGUAUUAGAAAGUGGAGCCUUUGGGAGGUAGUUGGGUUAUGAGGUGGAAUUCCUCAUGCAUGGGAUUAGUGUCCCUAUAAAAGAGUCCCCAAAGAGCUCACUCACCCCUUCCCGUCUACCAUGUUAGGAUACACAGAAAGACAGCCGUCUAUGAACCAGGAAGUGGGACUUCAUCAGACACCAAAUCUGCGAGUGCCUCAAUCUUGGGUUUCCCAGCCUCCAGAACUGUAAUAAAUAAACUGUUGUUUAAACCACCCUGCCAAUAGCAUUCUCGUAACAGUAGCUUGAACAAACUGAGAAAGAUUGUUUAUGAACUCCUGGGCUCACCAAUGGAUUAUGUAUAUGUGCAUCUGAUUCUGCUCAGCAUACCAAUGACUUUGAGAACUGACUAACAGAUACACCACGACCAUGUCCCAGCUGACCACCAGAUAACCCAUAUGCAGGACAAAUCUGAAGAGUGCUGCACAGGUUUGAAAAGCUGAGCUGACAUUGGAACCACAGCCCACAGAAGGUGGGUUGAAACUUGCAGCCUUAACCUAGUCAGAUCGAUCGUCUACUUAAAAAAAAUUAACAUUUUUUCUCUACAAAGUUUAAAUGAGACUCAGAGUUUUGGAACAUAAUAUUCAAUGUGUCCAGGAUGCCAUCCAAAAUUACUUGGGGUACAAAGAAUGAGAAAAAUCUCAACUUGCUUGGGAAAAGAAAAUCAAAAGACACCAAUACCAUGGUGACACAGAUGCUGGAAUUAUUUGACAAAGACUUUAAAACAGCUAUUAUAUAAAUGCUUAAAUAGUUACAAACAGUCUUAAAACAAAUGGAAAAAUAGAUUCAGCAAAGAAAUAGAGCCAAAUGGAAAUUUUAUAGAAGAAAAAUACAAUGACCAAAAUAAAAAAUAAACUUCACAGGAUAGGCUCAAAAGAAUGGAAAAGACAGAAAGAAUCAGCAUACUUGAAGCUAUUUCAACAGGAAUUUUCCAAUCUAAACAACAGGGAAAAAGAUUUUUAGAAAAAUGAACAGAGCCUCAGGGGCCCAUAGGUUAGUACCAGAAGGUCUUACAUUCACGUCAUCAGAGUCCCAGAAGGAGAGGAGAGUGUGGUGCUGAAAAAAUAUUUGCAGAUGUAAUGACUGAAAACUUCCCAGAUAUGACAAAAGAUAUAAACAGAGAGAGUUAAGAAAUUCAGCUAACUCCAAACAAGACAAAGCUGAAGAAAUCCAUGCCCAGAUGACAUAAUCAAUCUACUGAAAACUACAAAAAAAAAAAAAAAAAAAAAAAUUAAAAGAAGCCAAAGAAAAAUUAUGCAUUAGCUUUUGUCAGACAAUGAUUCAAGUAACUGCAAAUUUCUCAUCAGAGCCAUGGAGAUCAGAAGAAAGCAUCACAACAUCUUUCAAAUGUUAAAAGAAGUGAUAACUCAGGAUAUAUACGUACCUAGAUAUACUUUAAGAGUAAAUAAAAACUUCUCAGAUGAAGGAAAACUAAAAUAAUUCAUUGCCAGUAAACUUGCUCUAAAGAAUUUUUACAGUAAGUUCCUCAGACAGAAGAGAAAUGAUACCAGAAAGAAACUUCAAAGUGUUUCUUUAGAAAGGAAGAUUAUUCAUUCCAUUUACAUUUAAUUAAGUUAUUUAUAUAUUUGGAUUUAGAUUACCAUUUUAUUACUUGUUUUCUGUGUAUUCCCUCUGUUUUCCUUUUAGAUUUUUGAACCCUCUUUAGUAUUUUAUUUUUUACCUAUGGUGAUUUUGACUCUAUAGUUUUUAAGUUGGUUUUUCUAGGGAUAUAAUAUACAUACUUAACUUUUCACAGUCCACUUUAACCAGUGUUUUACCAUUUUAAGUGGUUAGUAGAAAUCUACCCACAUAUAGGUCCUUACCCUCUCCUUUAAUAUUAUAAUUCUAUUAUCUCUUACAUCUACGUACAUUGAAACCCCAUUAGAAAAGAUAAUAUUUUUUUGCUUUCAACCAUCAAAUAUACUUUGAAGAAUAGAAUUUAAGAGGAAGAAAAUAGUCUAUUAUAUUUACCUAGACAUACACCAUUUCUACUGCUUCUUCAUUUCUUCAAUAAAAAUAUCUAGUAAGAUGAAGUGGAUAUUUUCCCCUCAGCAGGGCUGAUCUGGUUAUCAACUGCUGGGAGUCUAAUCUACCAUCCCUGCUGGUAGAACAGCAUGAGCAAGGCACAGAGGUGGGAAAGUAAAGAAUGUGCUUGGGAAUAGCAAGGGGUCUGCUUUGAUAAGAAUGUGGAGUUAGCUGCUGGGUAAAAGGAAGAGGGAGAAGUUUAACAUCUAGUCAGAAGAUGUGUCUGUGGCAAGACUGUGUAUGAAAAGAGAAGUCUUUUCCCCAAAUGGAAGUCGCAAUGAAGUAAGUAGCAGUUAUUGCCAAGACCUGUCAAGGCUGAAGGGAAGCAAAGAUUUCAUUCCCUAGCGUUAUGUUAACAAAAGAAUGAGCCAAACUAUAAAGUCAUUCUUAGUGUAAACAUUCCAAAACUGCUCUUGGACAAACUCAGGGACCUUGGGAUGCUAAAAGGCCCAAGAAAAUGUGUGAAUGAGGUCAAUUACAGGUCAAGACAGAAAGGCAAAGGAGAAUGAAGAAGACGAGUUAUAACUAAAGAGACAAUCAAUGAAGAGACCACCAGAAAUCUCCUUUUGGGAAGAUGAGGAGCACAUUUUCAUCAACAUUGGUAAGAUGAUUCACAAGUGCAAAAGCUGAAAUUGAACUCAUAAUUUAAUGAAAGGUUUUAAGAAAAAUAAUAGAUUUCUCUCUGAAUACUUAAACAUCCUAAAAAUAUAAAAUUUCAUCCUGGUAAUUCAAUUUUGACAUAUAUAAAUAAAUACUUUCACCAUAAAUUAUCUCCUGCACCCUUUAGAGAGGCAAACAUUUCUGAACCAAUAAAAAUAAGAAGGAUCACUAAUGA